UCGGAAUUACUGGGCGUAAAGCGUGCGCAGGCGGUGAUGUAAGACAGAUGUGAAAUCCCCGGGCUCAACCUGGGAACUGCAUUUGUGACUGCAUCGCUGGAGUGCGGCAGAGGGGGAUGGAAUUCCGCGUGUAGCAGUGAAAUGCGUAGAUAUGCGGAGGAACACCGAUGGCGAAGGCAAUCCCCUGGGCCUGCACUGACGCUCAUGCACGAAAGCGUGGGGAGCAAACAGGAUUAGAUACCCUGGUAGUCAAGGGCG
rnacentral:rRNA from 1 species